rnacentral:rRNA from 1 species
AUUGAACGCUGGCGGCAUGCCUUACACAUGCAAGUCGAACGGCAGCACGGGGGCAACCCUGGUGGCGAGUGGCGAACGGGUGAGUAACAUAUCGGAACAUACCCUAGAGUGGGGGAUAACGUAGCGAAAGUUACGCUAAUACCGCAUACGAUCUAAGGAUGAAAGUGGGGGAUCUUCGGACCUCAUGCUCAUGGAGUGGCCGAUAUCUGAUUAGCUAGUUGGUGAGGUAAAGGCUCACCAAGGCGACGAUCAGUAGCUGGUUUGAGAGAACGACCAGCCACACUGGAACUGAGACACGGUCCAGACUCCUACGGGAGGCAGCAGUGGGGAAUUUUGGGCAAUGGGGGCAACCCUGAUCCAGCAAUGCCGCGUGAGUGAAGAAGGCCUUC